AGAGUUUGAUCCUGGCUCAGGAUGAACGCUAGCUACAGGCUUAACACAUGCAAGUCGAGGGGCAGCAUAUUGGUAGCUUGCUACUAAUGAUGGCGACCGGCGCACGGGUGAGUAACGCGUAUCCAACCUUCCCUAUACUAGAGGAUAGCCCGGCGAAAGUCGGAUUAAUACUCUAUGUUCUUCGUAGAUGACAUCUGAAAUGAAGCAAAGAUUUAUCGGUAUAGGAUGGGGAUGCGUCUGAUUAGCUUGUUGGCGGGGUAACGGCCCACCAAGGCAACGAUCAGUAGGGGUUCUGAGAGGAAGGUCCCCCACAUUGGUACUGAGACACGGACCAAACUCCUACGGGAGGCAGCAGUGAGGAAUAUUGGUCAAUGGGCGAGAGCCUGAACCAGCCAAGUAGCGUGCAGGAUGACGGCCCUAUGGGUUGUAAACUGCUUUUGUACGGGAAUAAAGUGUGGGACGUGUCCCAUUUUGUAUGUACCGUAAGAAUAAGGACCGGCUAAUUCCGUGCCAGCAGCCGCGGUAAUACGGAAGGUCCGGGCGUUAUCCGGAUUUAUUGGGUUUAAAGGGAGCGCAGGCUGGAGAUUAAGCGUGACGUGAAAUGUAGCCGCUCAACGGCUGAACUGCGUCGCGAACUGGUUAUCUUGAGUGAGUUCGAUGUUGGCGGAAUUCGUGGUGUAGCGGUGAAAUGCUUAGAUAUCACGAAGAACUCCGAUUGCGAAGGCAGCCAACAAAGGCCUUUACUGACGCUAAAGCUCGAAGGUGCGGGUAUCGAACAGGAUUAGAUACCCUGGUAGUC
rnacentral:rRNA from 1 species